GAUGAACGCUAGCGACAGGCUUAACACAUGCAAGUCGAGGGGCAGCAUGAUUUAACUUCGGUUAAAUUGAUGGCGACCGGCGCACGGGUGCGUAACACGUAUGCAACCUACCUUAUACAGGGGGAUAGCCCAUGGAAACGUGGAUUAAUACCCCAUAGUACUUUAUAUUCGCAUGAAUGUAGGGUUAAAGUCUUCGGAUGGUAUAAGAUGGGCAUGCGUCCCAUUAGAUAGUUGGUGAGGUAACGGCUCACCAAGUCAAUGAUGGGUAGGGGUUCUGAGAGGAAGGUCCCCCACACUGGAACUGAGACACGGUCCAGACUCUUGGUUACG
rnacentral:rRNA from 1 species